rnacentral:rRNA from 1 species
UUUAAGGUCUAACCUGCCCAAUGAGGAUUUAAAUGGCCGCAGUAUUUUGACUGUGCAAAGGUAGCAUAAUUAUUAGUUUUUUAAUUGAAAGCUUGUAUGAAGGGUUGGACGAGAUAAGAUCUGUCUUUAUUUAAAUUAAAAUAUAAUUUAACUUUUAAGUAAAAAGGCUUAAAUGUUUAUAAAAGACGAGAAGACCCUAUAGAUCUUUAUUUAGUUGAGAUUUUAAUAAUUUAGGAUUAUUUUAAUUUAAAGUUUUAAUUAAAUUUUAUUGGGGUAAUAUAAAGAUUAAAUAAAUUCUUUUUAUUUAUAACAUUAAUUUAUGAAUAUAUGAUCCAUUAAUAUUGAUUAUAAGAUUAAGUUACCUUAGGGAUAACAGCGUAAUUUUUUUAGAGAGCUCAUAUCGAUAAAAAAGUUUGCGACCUCGAUGUUGGAUUAAAAAUUAGCUUGGGUGCAGGAGCUCAAGAUUUUGGUCUGUUCGACCAUUAAAUUUUUACAUGAUCUGAGUUCAGACCGGCGUAAGCCAGGUCGGUUUCUAUCUUUAUUAAGAUAAAAUGUUUUAGUACGAAAGGACCAGGCAUUUAAUAUAAUUAUAUUUAUUUUUUGAAGAAUAUU